CUGCAGGUCUUCUGACCUUGCAGCACAGAGGCUUCUGCGGUUUAACCCGCAGUGCCACCACGUCAGUUUAAAACAGAUUCAUAUAUCCAGUGCUGCCAUUGCUCAAUGUGAAGGAAAACAAGGGCACUGCACAAAGAGUAUCCUGAUAUUUUGGACAUGAACACCAAGAAGCCCCAGUGGUCAGGAAUUCUGGGAGCCAAAGUCUAAAACAUUUGGACAGCCACAGAUUGAGAACCAUCAGCACAGAUACAGUAACUGCAGAACUCACAAGCUGCUUCUUUUCCAGGAGGGAUCAAAAGGAGUGGGUGCUAGUUUGCCUUGUAUAGUUGUCCAAAUCCACAGUUGAAGAUGGCGAUGCUCUACUUCUUCAGCAUGGCAGAAUUUCUUUGACAGGUUAAAGCAGUGGUUCUUAACCUUUUUGAAAGAAUCGCCCCCUUGAGCCAUUGAGGAAGUUACCAUCGCCCCUCUCUCCCAAGAUAAUGGCGGCGGCAGCAAAGCGUCCACUGCUAGCACCAGCUGCUAUGGAUCCGCCUGCCAGAUGCAGCCGCCUUCUCAGGACCGAAAGACAACCAGAUCAAGUGGAGGAGAGUUGGAAGAGCAAUGGUUUUGGGAAAAGAAUACUGAACAAUACAAUACUUCUCCAGAACCCAAGUUCAUUCAGAGGGUGUCACAACUUUGUGCUGCAUUAUGUGUUUUAUAUGCAAUUAUGUAGUUAUGUGUGUAUUGACUGAGAGCUGGACGAGGAAUGUAUGCCAGGAAUGACAGUUGAGAAGAGUAAAAGAAUGUUUAUGGAUAGAAGUGCAAGCUGAUUGCUCUGUGUGAUUCUGUUUUAUAUACAAGUGUAUGCUCAUGUGAGAAAGAGCCAGCCAGUGUUAGAGCUGUGGCCGGGAUUCCCCUUUCCACCACCAUUUCCGGUUCUGCCACUUCCAGUUACGCCACCACUGUGGCCCGCCACCCGUUGGGUGUUCCUCCCCCAAUUAGGGCACUUGGGCCCAAAAAAAAAAUAUACAGCCUUGUUGUGCUCCUUUCCCAAUUUUGA